UCCAACUCGGUCUAUAAAAGGGACCAUUUGUGCUUACAAGCUAUUCAUUUCUAGCUAAUUACCAAGUUAAGUUUCAUUUCCCAUAUCAUAGUGAAAAUGAUGAGAAUCAAUAUUUUUGAGACCUCUGGAGUGCAAGAUGAAGAGAAAGAUGAUGCAGAUGAAGAAAUGUACAAUAUCAAGCUAAUCAUCGAAUCAAUGAUUUACCAAAUUAAGAGGUUUGUUCUAAUAAGAUGAAAAAGACUGAUACAGGUACCGCCUCUUUUCUCUAGGGCAUUCAGCUUGUCAUGAUCCCAAAAGCUUUGUGCUGGUCUCAGACCCCUUUAUCACUCCCCAAGAAGCACAUACUUGGUGCGUUGAUCGAUCAAGGGGCUGGGCAACAGAUGCAUGAGAUUCUUGAAGACUGCAUUAAGUCUUUGCAGUGGUAGAGAUGUGUCUUGUCUGAUUUUCAUGUCCUAUGCCUUCAUAACAUAUUAGCACUUGAUCCAUGCUUUUGCAGGAUUUGAGAUUUGAGAGCUACCUUCAUCGUCUUCGUCGUCAAACUGGUCUUGAGUUUUCACUCCUUCAACUUCACUGAUACCAUUAGCAACAGUUGUCAAGAUACCACACUCUUGUAUUUCUGUAUCAAAUCUAGUCUACUUGAUGUAUCGAUAUAUUAAUGUACCAUAAAAUUUUCCACACUUGUAUGGUGAAUUGAACAUUAUUAGAACAAUAUUUAAGAGCUA